GUACUAGUCAAGGACUUUUCUAGCUUCCCAUGCUCUGCCGGGUGCACAAGAAGCUGGGAGGGGAGGGGGCACAGCUAAGAGAGCGGAUUCAAACGGGCCAAAGGGAUAUUCCAUAUCAUGGAACGUCAUGCCCAGUAUGUUAACUGGGAGGAGCUGGCCAGGGGAGGGAGGCAGCAAUCGCGGCUUGGGGACGGGCAGCGUCAGUCGGCGGGUGGUGAGCGGUUGUAUCAUUUGUGUUUCUGGGGUUUUUUUCCCCUUUAUUUUCCUUUUCCUUUUUAUUAUAUUAUUAAUAUUCUUAUUAUCAUUAUUAUUAUUAUUAUAUUGUAAUUAUUAAACUGUGCUUAUCUCAACCCACAAGUUCUUUUGCUCUUCCGAUUCUCUUCCCCAUCCCACAGGGGUGGGGAGAGUGAACGAGCAGCUGCGUGGUGUUUAGUUGCUGACUAAGGUUGAACCAUGACAACUUCUCUUUGAAUGGAAACACGAUACUCAAAGAUUCAGAUGAAGGUAGACGGCAGAGUAUCAGAUUAAACACUGCAGCAGUGCUUUUCAUAGAUUUCAAACCAGCUAGUUUGAAGCAGCUUGAUGCCAGCAUGACUACACACUCAAGGCUGUGAUUGGAAUGUAGACAUCCAUCUAGUCUAUUCAUUUUUAUCCAUAUAAACAAGAACAAACCACAUUAGAACUCUGUCAUGGUUCAGCCUCAGUCAGCAACUAAGCACCACACAGCCGCUCGCUCACUCCCCCCAUGCCAGUGGGAUGGGGGAGAGAAUCGGAAGGGCCAAAGUAAGAAAAAUCAUAGGUUGAGAUAAGGACAGUUUAUUAAUUAAAAUUAAAAUGUAAUAGUAAUUAUAAAAACAAUACUAUAAUGAAAAGGAAAAUAAUGAGAGAGAGAGAGAGAGGCGAAACCUCGGGAGGAGGGAAAAAACGAAACAAGUGAUGCAACUGCUCACCACCCACCAACCAACGCCUCCGGUCCCUGAGCCGCGAUUGCUGCUUCCCCCAGCCAGCUCCUCCCAGUUACUAUACUGGGUAUGAUGUCAUAUGAUAUGGAAUAUCCCUUUGGUCAGUUUGGAUCCGCUCUCUUAGCUGUGCCCCCUCCCCUCCCAGCUUCUUGUGCACCUGGCAGAGCAUGGGAAGCUGGAAAAGUCCUUGACUAGUACAAGCACUACCUAGCAAUAACUAAAAUAUCUGUGUGUUAACAUUAUUAUUUUCAUACUAAGUCCAAAGCACAGCACUAUGCCAGCUACAGUGAAGAAAAUUAACUCUAUCCCAGCUAAAACCAUGACAAACCCUUAAGUACCUUGAAAACAUUCUUCAUGGUUGGACAUAAUUACAGCCAUUUUUGGAGAGUAGAAAGGGCCACAGCUGAAGGGAUACCCAGAAAAAAAAGCUACUCAGAUCAGAAGUGGAUUUCAGAAGUUUGAUUUGAGUAGAUAUCAGAUUUUUUAUUUCAGUCCAGCCAGAAUUACUGCAGUUUCAUUCUAAUAAUAACAUUGUCUCCUUUUGUAACAUUGAAUAAACAAUCACCCUGCAAACUGUGGAUUGGUUACUGUGUUGUUGUGCUGGUUUUGACUGGGAUAGUUAAUUGUCUUCAUAGUAGCUAGUAUGGGGCUAUGCUUUGGAUUUAUGCUGAAAACAGUGUUGAUAAUAAACACAUGCUUUACUUAGGAUGAA